rnacentral:lncRNA from 1 species
AAUUAAUUGAACAAAACACCACCUAGUGGUAGACAGACCUAUUUUGGAAAGUCAAGAGAACAUAAGUUUCUUGUAGAAAAUUUGGAAUCCAUUCACUCUCGGGUUUUUUUUACCAGGUAACUUUAGUUUAAUAUUAAAACAUUAAAGAGCUUACAUAGUUGGGGUUUGGGGAGGACUUAGGACCAUUAAAAGCCGGGCAGAUAAAAUCCUGUCGCACCAAAUAUCAUCGAAUACUCCUUUCUUUAUGCAUGUGUUCCAAUAUAGUGUUUAUAGCCAAUGGGAUAAAUACAGUCUCUGCUUUGAAGCCCAAAAGAAUAUCCUUCCCACAUUUCAAAUUUUUCAUUUUCAAAGCUAGCAUGUGAUGACAGUUUGCCUUCUUAGAUAGGUCACUGAGCCCUGCGGUGCACCUUCUCUGUACGCCCCCCCAUCCCGUGUCACCUCCACCCUUCUCCAGCCCUUGAUCUAUGUGCCAUCUCUCUGAAGGAGCCGGCCCUGCCUAUGACGUCACAGAGAAAAGAGAUGCCAACAGCUGGGACCGCACGCAACUUGCCACCACCGACUCUGCACACUUACAAACAACUGCACCCACUUUGUCUCCUUCCCUCUCACUGUCAGAGCGCCAGCCUAAUGCUCUCAUCUGAAUCUGGCCAUCUUUCUUCAGGCUACCUCAGGUUGUCGGCACUAGCUGCCCCCAGUGCCUCACCGGCCUUCACUCCUUAGCCAGGUGGAAUCUGGGCUCCCAAGGCCUCUCUGGAGCAUUUGCUCAAGCGGUCAUUCCUUCCUCACUGGAGGAAUUGCGUGCCUUGACUUGUCUUAUGUCACACGGCCCUGCUCUCCGCCACCCCUGUCAUCUCGAAGUUUCCUCUUCGUCUGCUCCCCCUUUGAACACUGGUGUGCCUUGGAGAUGGCCUUCGACUCUUCUGUACAUUUUUCUGGGUGUUGAAUCCACUCCCGUGGCCUAAUGUACUGGUGGACUGAAGGAGUCUGCAGCCUGUUAGUAGUUGUCAUAGACAAUCACCUCGUUGUCCCACAUAUGUAGUACAUUCUCUUAAUUUUUCAUUAUACUCUGCCUCGUCACAAAAUGGAAUUGAGGGGUAAGUAUGUUGGGGGGCGCGGGGCAAAAGCAAGAGCUCUGGGCUACGUAUUACACCAAGCACUUUAAAUGAAUGAUCUCAUUUCAUUCUCAC